rnacentral:rRNA from 1 species
UGGGGAAUCUUGCGCAAUGGGCGAAAGCCCGACGCAGCGACGCCGCGUGGGGGAAGAAGGCCUUCGGGUUGUAAACCUCUUUCAGGUGGGACGAAGCCACUCGGGUGAAUCGCCCAGAGGGUGACGGUACCUCCAGAAGAAGCCCCGGCUAACUACGUGCCAGCAGCCGCGGUAAUACGUAGGGGGCAAGCGUUGUCCGGAUUUAUUGGGCGUAAAGAGCGUGUAGGCGGCCUGGUAGGUCGGUUGUGAAAACUGGAGGCUUAACCUUCAGACGUCGACCGAAACCCUCAGGCUAGAGUCCGGAAGAGGAGAGUGGAAUUCCUGGUGUAGCGGUGAAAUGCGCAGAUAUCAGGAAGAACACCCGUGGCGAAGGCGGCUCUCUGGGACGGUACUGACGCUGAGACGCGAAAGCGUGGGGAGCGAACAGGAUUAGAUACCUGGUAGUCCACGCCGUAAACGAUGGGUGCUAGGUGUGGGGGUGUCGACUCCCUCCGUGCCGAAGCUAACGCAUUAAGCA